AAAAAAGUAGCAGAGCGUGUGAGCCAUGUGCCGAGAAAAGCUGCUAUUGUGUAAUGCGUGCCCGUACCGUAAACCGACACAGGUGGAUGAGGAGAGAAUCCUAAGGCCGACGGAAGAAGCAUUGUUAAGGAAUUCGGCAAAAUGACCCCGUAACUUCGGGAGAAGGGGUGCCUGCGAGAGCAGGCCGCAGAGAAUAGGCUCAAGCAACUGUUUAGCAAAAACACAGGUCUAUGCGAAACCGAAAGGUGAAGUAUAUGAGCUGACGCCUGCCCGGUGCUGGAAGGUUAAGAGGAGAGGUUAGCGUAAGCGAAGCUUUGAAUUUAAGCCCCAGUAAACGGCGGCCGUAACUAUAACGGUCCUAAGGUAGCGAAAUUCCUUGUCGGGUAAGUUCCGACCCGCACGAAAGGCGUAAUGAUUUGAGCACUGUCUCGACAAUGCAUCCGGUGAAAUUGAAGUACCAGUGAAGAUGCUGGUUACCCGCGCCAGGACGGAAAGACCCCAUGGAGCUUUACUCCAGUUUGAUACUGGGAUUCGGUACUGCAUGUACAGGAUAGGUGGGAGACGAAGAAGGAUGGACGCCAGUCUGUCCGGAGUCGCUGUUGGGAUACCACCCCUGUAGUACUGGGUUUCUAACCAGUUGCCAUGAACUGGCAAUGGGACAAUGUCAGGCGGGGAGUUUGACUGGGGCGGUCGCCUCCGAAAGGGUAUCGGAGGCGCUCAAAGGUUCCCUCAGAAUGGUUGGAAACCAUUUGAAGAGUGCAAAGGCAGAAGGGAGCUUGACUGCGACACCGACGGGUGGAGCAGGUACGAAAGUAGGACUUAGUGAUCCGGUGGUACAAAGUGGGAUUGCCAUCGCUCAACGGAUAAAAGCUACCCUGGGGAUAACAGGCUUAUCACUCCCAAGAGUUCACAUCAACGGAGUGGUUUGGCACCUCGAUGUCGGCUCAUCGCAUCCUGGGGCUGUAGCAGGUCCCAAGGGUUGGGCUGUUCGCCCAUUAAAGCGGUACGCGAGCUGGGUUCAGAACGUCGUGAGACAGUACGGUCCCUAUCCGGCGCGGGCGGAGGAUAUUUGAGAGGAGCUGUCCUUAGUACGAGAGGACGGGGAUGGACGGACCACUGGUGUAUCUGUUGUCGACCAACGGCAUGGCAGAGUAGCCAAGUCUGGAAGGGAUAAACGCUGAAGGCAUCUAAGCGUGAAGCCCCCCUCAAGAUGAGAUAUCCCUCCUUCGGGAGUAAGACCCCUUGAAGACUACAAGGUAGAUAGGGCAGAGGUGGAAGCAUGGCAACAUGUGGAGCUGACUGUUACUAAUAGGUCGAGGGCUUAAUAG
rnacentral:rRNA from 1 species